rnacentral:tRNA from 1 species
GCCGAAGUGGCGGAAUUUGGUAGACGCGCACGUUUGAGGGGCGUGUGGGGUAACCCGUGGGGGUUCGAGUCCCCCCUUCGGCA